CACGUAGGGGGCGAGCGUUGUCCGGAUUUAUUGGGCGUAAAGAGCUCGUAGGCGGUUUGUCGCGUCUGCUGUGAAAUUUCGGGGCUCAACCCCGAACUUGCAGUGGGUACGGGCAGACUAGAGUGUGGUAGGGGAGACUGGAAUUCCUGGUGUAGCGGUGAAAUGCGCAGAUAUCAGGAGGAACACCGAUGGCGAAGGCAGGUCUCUAGGCCACUACUGACGCUGAGAAGCGAAAGCAUGGGGAGCGAACAGG
rnacentral:rRNA from 1 species